UCGAGUUCUUUGAAGUGGGUCUUUCUGAUGCUGGCGCCUCUGUGGUGCAUGUGCUCGGGACCCCGCUCAUCCACUCAACCCCUGUGCACUUUUCGAAGUCUGUCGUCGGCUCCCAUUUGGAGCAGCUGGAGGUUUGGCCCUUAGUUGAGCCAUUCUCUUUGGCCGGGUCGUCGACGCUUCGUAUUAUUACAAACAACUUAUAAGUCUUGUAGAAUGUGAAGCCUCAUUGUGGGCGAAACUUAAUA
rnacentral:misc_RNA from 1 species